rnacentral:rRNA from 1 species
AUGGAGAUCGAAUCCAACACGAAGCAGUGCAGAGUUAAGGGAGCACCAUCUGAGGAGGACCGGCUGAGUGGCCUCCCCGACGACGUCCUCCACUCGAUCGUCGGCCGGGUCCCCCUCAAACAAGCCGUCCGCACCAGCGCCCUCUCCACGAGGUGGCCGUGCCUGUGGCUCCACGCGCUCGCCGCCUCCGCCGUCCUCGACUUCACCGACCGCGAAUUCGCCCGCGGCCAGUCCCUGGGGCGGAUCGUGGCCACGGUGAACCGCUGCCUGGAGGCCCACGGCGCGGCGCCCCUCGACGUGUUCCGCGUGGCGCUGUCCCCGUUCGACGCGUUUGGGCGGGACGUCGUCCGGUGGGCCGCGGCCGCCUUGGGGAGAGGCGCCAGGGAGGUGGGGGUGGACCUGACGCAGCACGCCGACGGCCGCGGGGCUCUGGAGCUUCCCGCGGACCUCUUCCAGGCCGAGAGCUCCCUCGCGGUGCUCAGCCUCGGCCGGUGCAGCCUCCGCGACGUCCCACCCGGCACGGCGGGGCUCGCCGGUCUCACAUCGCUCUCCCUCAACCAAGUCGACGUCACCGACGAUGCUGUCCGGGACGUGGUCUCCGGGUGCCGGCUGCUCGAGUUUCUGAGCCUGGAGAGCUGCCACCUUCUCGUGUCGGUGAGGGUCGCCGGCGAGAGGCUGCGGGGCCUGGAGAUCGUGCGCUGCCUGGCCAUGCGCCACCUGCAGGUGGCCGCGCCCGUGCUGGAGUCCGUCGUCUACCACGGCGACGUCCUCCUCAUCUGGAGAGAGGACGAGCCGUCCGGCGUGGAGUUCGUUGGCCCGGGCGGCAGGACCGAUGCCAGGCCGGAGCUAAAGGACGCGUACCUGACCCACAUCGGCUACGGCGUAUACGACGAAGUAAUUCACGAGUUCGCCUACUCGGGCUUCUUGGAUCAGGUCGCGCAUGCCAAGAUUUUGACACUUUGUUCCGUGGGCAUGCUGCACCUGGAAGAAGAGCGAUUGUUCGCGGAGGGCGACGUGGAUGCCCCGAACCUAGAAGAGCUGCAGCUGCUAAUGGACUCCGUCUCCAUGGGCGACGACGAUGUUACUCGCUUCUCCGGAUUCUUAGAGCUUGUCGUGGCGCCGCUCCUCGAGCGCCUCUUUAUCCGGCUCCCAGACGCGUGCGGCGGCACGGCGGGGACCGGCGAGGGCGCGGACAUCGUUCUCGAGUGCGAGAUCGCUCUCGACCACCUGACGUUCCUCAAGGUGGUGAACUUCCGAGGGACGAGGUGCGAGCUGCGGCUGCUAAGGUUCGUCCUGCGCAGGGCUCCUGUCCUCGAGCAGCUGGUGCUCGUCACCCCGGAAGACGUAGGAACUCCGGGGCACCAUGACCAGGGGAGAGCGUCCGCCUGCUACUUAAGGUCGUCCAAGAGCACGUGUCAGAGAUCAGCAAGGCGUGGCUCUGGCAGGAGCCCUGUGUCACCGUGUGCCGGCCGAGGGAGGACGAUAGCCGGAGCCCUGCACACACCAAGUACUACCACCAUGAUCAUGCAUAGUUCAACUAGAGCUAAUUAA